rnacentral:rRNA from 1 species
GACGAACGCUGGCGGCGUGCUUAACACAUGCAAGUCGAACGGAAAGGCCCUGCUUUUGUGGGGUGCUCGAGUGGCGAACGGGUGAGUAACACGUGAGUAACCUGUCCUUGACUUUGGGAUAACUUAAGGAAACUGGGGCUAAUACCGGAUAGGAGCUAUUGCUGCAUGGUGGGGGUAGGAAAGUUUCGGCGGUUGGGGAUGGACUCGCGGCUUAUCAGCUUGUUGGUGGGGUAGUGGCUUACCAAGGCUUUGACGGGUAGCCGGCCUGAGAGGGUGACCGGCCACAUUGGGACUGAGAUACGGCCCAGCCUCCUACGGGAGGCAGCAGUGGGGAAUAUUGCACAAUGGGCUGAAGCCUGAUGCAGCAACGCCGCGUGCGGGAUGACGUCCUUCGGGUUGUGAACCGCUUUCGCCUGUGACGAAGCGUGAGUGACGGUAAUGGGUAAAGAAGCACCGGCCAACUACGUG